GACAGAGGUGCCAAGCGUUAGGCGGAAUCACUGGGCUUAAAGCGUGUGUAGGCGGAUCGUUAAGUGUCUUGUGAAAUCCCACGGCUCAACCGUGGAACUGCUCGACAUACUGGCGAUCUUGAGCAACCUAGGGGCGAGCGGAACAAAUGGUGGAGCGGUGAAAUGCGUAGAUAUCAUUUGGAACGCCAAUGGUGAAAACAGCUCGCUGGGGGGUUUGCUGACGCUGAGACACGAAAGCCAGGGGGAGCGAACGGG
rnacentral:rRNA from 1 species